UCCCUGGAGGACUAGUGGUUAGGCCACAGCGCUCUCACCGCUGUGGUCUGAGUUUGAUUCCUGGCCAAGGAA
rnacentral:tRNA from 1 species